rnacentral:rRNA from 1 species
UACGGGGGGGGGAAGCGUUGUUCGGAAUUACUGGGCGUAAAGGGCUCGUAGGCGGCCAACUAAGUCAUACGUGAAAUCCCUCAGCUUAACUGGGGAACUGCGUGUGAUACUGGAUGGCUUGGAUUUGGGAGAGGGAUGCGGAAUUCCAGGUGUAGCGGUGAAAUGCGUAGAUAUCUGGAGGAACACCGGUGGCGAAGGCGGCAUCCUGGACCAAUAUUGACGCUGAGGAGCGAAAGCUGGGGGAGCAAACGGG